rnacentral:rRNA from 1 species
UACGUAGGGGGCAAGCGUUGUCCGGAUUUAUUGGGCGUAAAGAGCGUGUAGGCGGCCAGGUAGGUGGGUUGUGAAAACUGGAGGCUCAACCUUCGGACGUCGACCCAAACCCCCUGGCUAGAGUCCGGAAGAGGAGAGUGGAAUUCCUGGUGUAGCGGUGAAAUGCGCAGAUAUCAGGAAGAACACCCGUGGCGAAGGCGGCUCUCUGGGACGGUACUGACGCUGAGACGCGAAAGCGUGGGGAGCGAACAGG